rnacentral:rRNA from 1 species
UACGUAGGCAGCGAGCGUUGUUCGGAGUUACUGGGCGUAAAGGGUGUGUAGGCGGUUCUUUAAGUUUGGUGUGAAAUCUCCCGGCUCAACCGGGAGGGUGCGCCGAAUACUGAGGGACUAGAGUACGGGAGAGGAAAGUGGAAUUCCUGGUGUAGCGGUGAAAUGCGUAGAUAUCAGGAGGAACACCGGUGGUGUAGACGGCUUUCUGGACCGUAACUGACGCUGAGACAACGGAAAGCGUGGGUAGCAAACAGG